rnacentral:rRNA from 1 species
GAUGAACGCUGGCGGCGUGCCUAAUACAUGCAAGUCGAGCGAACAGACGAGGAGCUUGCUCCUCUGACGUUAGCGGCGGACGGGUGAGUAACACGUGGAUAACCUACCUAUAAGACUGGGAUAACUUCGGGAAACCGGAGCUAAUACCGGAUAAUAUAUUGAACCGCAUGGUUCAAUAGUGAAAGACGGUUUUACUGUCACUUAUAGAUGGAUCCGCGCCGCAUUAGCUAGUUGGUAAGGUAACGGCUUACCAAGGCAACGAUGCGUAGCCGACCUGAGAGGGUGAUCGGCCACACGGGAACUGAGACACGGUCCAGACUCCUACGGGAGGCAGCAGUAGGGAAUCUUCCGCAAUGGGCGAAAGCCUGACGGAGCAACGCCGCGUGAGUGAUGAAGGUCUUCGGAUCGUAAAACUCUGUUAUUAGGGAAGAACAAAUGUGUAAGUAACUAUGCACGUCUUGACGGUACCUAAUCAGAAAGCCACGGCUAACUACGUG